UACGUAGGGUCCAAGCGUUAUCCGGAAUUACUGGGCGUAAAGAGUUGCGUAGGUGGCAUAGUAAGCGGACAGUGAAAUCGUGUGGCUCAACCACAUAUACAUUGUCUGAACUGCUAAGCUAGAGAACGAGAGAGGUAGAUGGAAUUCCCAGUGUAGGAGUGAAAUCCGUAGAUAUUGGGAGGAACACCGAUGGCGUAAGCAGUCUACUGGCUCGUUUCUGACACUAAGGCACGAAAGCGUGGGGAGCAAACGGG
rnacentral:rRNA from 1 species